GGGGAUUUAGCUCAGCGGCAUAAGCACCUGCCUUGCAAGCAGGAGGUUAUGAGUUCGAUCCCCG
rnacentral:tRNA from 1 species